UCCUAAAUAUACAUGCUCCUGAAAGAUCCCUGGAGUGGGGAGACCCUCACUCGAGUCUCGGGAUGAUGCGACUCCCCAAGAACUCACAUGAGACC
rnacentral:pre_miRNA from 14 species